UCCCAGAGGUCAGGAGGGGCCUUUCUGAUGGAAGACCCAAAUGAACACUCAUCUGGGGAAACCAAGCCGGGAGAGGCCUGGGGGCCUCAGCCCUCUGCACCCAUCUCAGCCCUAUGCCGAGUGCCACCUGGACCUGUCCACCCAGGGCCAGGAAGGGCACGGACCCCCAACCCAUCCCACGCAGGGACAAGGCCCCCCAUCCCCUGUCCACAGUCCCCCACAGAGCCAAGGUCUCCCAACCCUGUCCACAGCCCCCACACAGACUCGAGGGGCCCCCAUCUCCUGUUCUGAACCCAACAGGGUGGUCCCACUGUGGGACCACAACCAGGUAUGACUGUGUGAGAAGCAGGCUCACUACCAGGCUACCAGGGAGCACAGGGGAGCAGGCGCCACCUUGAGGCAUAAACCCAGAGAAACAAGACCUCCAAGACGGCCAGGCACUGGGGCACACGCCGGUAACACAGCACCGUGGGAGCUGAGACGGAAGGAUCGCCUGAGCCCAGGAUUUUGAAACCACCCUGGGCAACACAGUGAGACCCCGUAUCUACAAAAAAAUACACAUUAGCCAGGCAUGGCGGCAUGCGCCUGGGGUCCCAAGUACUCGGGAGGUAGAGGAGAGAAAAAUCACUUGAGCCCAGAGAGGUCAAGGCUACAGGGAGCUGAGAUCGCAUCACUGUACUCCAGCUGGGGUGAAACGGCGAGACUCUACCUCAAAAAUAAAUAAAUACAUACAUAAUUAAUAAAUAAAACAUCAAAGACCAGCCGACCUAACUCCAUCUAAAAUACACAACUUCUACGCAAAAUAUAAAUAAAAUUAGAAAACAAACUACAAUCUCAGAAAAGCACUAGCAACUUAGACGACAUACUAAAGGCCAAAAAUACCCUCCUGACACACAGCUAAUAAAGAAAAAGUCAACUAUUCCAGUUAAAAAGAAGAAAAGGAAACUGGCUGUGGUGGCUUAUGCCUGUAAUCCCAGUGCUUUGGGAAGGCCAGGAGUUUGAGACCAGGAUGGACAGCAUAGCAAGACCCCAUCUCUACAAGGAAAAAAAGAAUCAGCCAGGCAUGGUGGUGUGGAGCUGUAGUUCCAACUACUCGGGGGGCUGAGGAGGAAGGAUCGCUUGAGCCAGGGAGGUCGAGGCUGCAGUGAGCUAUGAUUGUGCCACUGCAGUCCAGCCUGGGCGACAGAGCAAGACCCGGUCUCGAAAGAAAAGAAAGAGAAAGCAAGAAAAGAAAGAUGGCUGGGCACGGUGGCUCACUCCUGUAAUCCCAGAACUUUGGGAGGCCAAGGUGGGUGGAUCAUGAGAUCAAGAGAUCGAGACCAUCCUGGCCAACAGGGUGAAACCCCGUCUCUACUAAAAAUGCAAAAAUUAGCUGGGCGUGGUGGCGGGCACCAGUCCAGGCUACUCGGGAGGCUGAGGCAGGAGAAUGGUGUGAACCCAGGAGGCGGAGCUUGCAGUGAGCCGAGAUGGCACUGCUGCACUCCAGCCUGGGCAACAGAGUGAGACUCCAUCUCAAAUAAUAAUAAAAAAUAAAUAAAUAAAUAAAUAAAUAAAAGACAUCACUCACACCUGUAAUCCCAGCACUUCGGGAGGCCGAGGCAAGCAGAUCACCUAAGGCCAAGAGUUCAAGACCAGCCUGACCAACAUGGUGAAACCCCAUCUCUACUAAAAAUAUUUUUAAAAAUUAGCUGGGCGUGGUGGCGCGCGCCUGUAAUCCCAGCUACUCAGGAGGCUGAGGCAGGAGAAUCGCUUGAACCCGGGAGGUGGAGGCUGCAGUGAGCCGAGAUCACACCAUUGUCCUCCAGCCUGGGUGACAGAGCCAGACUCCGUCUCAAACAAAACAAAACAAAAGACAUCAGCUAGCUGGUCCAAGCACAGUGGUGUUCACAACGAAUUGAUCACAGCCAGGUAGAAUUCUUCAUUCUUUCUCCAGUUCCACUGCUUUGCUUGACCAGCCUUAAAGACACACAUACACAUUUUUGUCUGGGCGCGCUGGCUCACACCUGUAAUCCCAACACUUUGGGAGGCCAAGGCAGGCGGAUCACUUGAGGUCAGGAGUUUGAGACCAGCCUGACCAACGUGGAGAAACCCCGUCUCUCCUAAAAAUACAAAAUUAGCCAGGCAUGGUGGCACACGCCUGUAAUCCCAGCUACUGGAGAGGCUGAGGCAGGAGAAUCGCUUGAACCCGGGAGGCGGAGGUUGCCGUGAGCUGAGAUCGCGCCACUGCACUCCAGCCUGGGCAACAAGAGCGAAACUCUGUCUCAAAAAAAAAAAAAAAAAGUAUAUAUUUUUAAAAGACAUUGGCCGGGUGCGGUGGCUCACGCCUGUAAUCCCAGCACUUUGGGAGGCCGAGGUGGGCAGAUCACGAGGUCAGGAGAUCGAGACCAUCCUGGCCAACACGGUAAAACCCCGUCUCUACUAAAAAUACAAAAAUUAGCUGGGCACGGUGGUGCAUGCCUGUAAACCCAGCUACCAGGUACUCGGGAGGCUGAGGCAGGAGAAUCGCUUGAACCAGGGAGUCGGAGGUUGCGGCGAGCUGAGAUCAUGCCACUGCACUGCGGCCUGGAGACAAGAGCAAGACUCCGUCUCAAAAAAAAAAAAAAAAAAAAAAAAAAAAGACAUCAACUAAUUGCAGUGUGUGGACCUUAUUUGGCUCUUAAUUCAAACUAUUAAACCAAAAAUGUGAACACACCAGGCCUUCGGUGGCAUGAAGGAAUUGUCUGUUGUGUUAGGUGGGUCUGCAGUAUUGCGAUGCCCUCCAAAAUGCUUGCAGAUAAAAGGGUGGCUGGAAUUUGGUUCAAAACAUGGGUCAGGGCUGGGCGUGGUGGCUCAUGCCUGUAAUCCCAGCACUUUGGGAGGCCGAGGCGGGCGGAUCAUCUGAGGUCAGGAGUUCAAGACCAGCCUGACCAAUAUGGAGAAACCCUGUCUCUACUAAAAAUACAAAAUUAGCCAGGCAUGGUGGUGCACGCCUGUAAUCCCAGCUACUCGGGAGGCUGAGGCAGGAAAAGCGCUUGAACCCAGGAGGCGGAGGUUGCCAUGAGCCGAGAUCGUGCCAUUGCACUCCAGCCUUGGCAACAAGAGUGAACUCUGUCUCAAAAAAAAAAAAAAAAAACACAUGGGUCAGGAGGGGAAGGGUCGGGGCAGGGAGGGCAGGGCAGGCUCUGGGGUGGGGGGUCUGUGAGUCAGCCACGGCUCUGCCCACGUCUCCCCACGAAGCUUCGAGCCACGCAGAGCAGCACGUUUUGCAGUACGCCAUCUUUUCCAAAAGCCACCACCUCUCGGCAGCAUCAUUAACCCAAGGCAGGCUGUGGCCUCAGAAGCCCCGGCUGUCCUCCACCUGGAACUGGACACAGCUGUCCCUGCUGAGCUUCAGCAGCCAGGGAGCCACAAGUGGAGAGGCACCUGCGUGAGCCCCCCAGGAAGGCUACUGGUGACACCCAGACAGCAACGCUCCUGGACCCUUGAACACCUGCCAGCAGCUGUGAUCUGUGUCCUUCACCUCUCCCAGCUUGACCCCUCUUCCCUGGGGAAAACCCAGCCGUCUCCCCGAGGAGGAGUUUGCAGGGUAGACAGCAAAAUGGCUGGGCUGCCCCACAGCACAGAGGGUGGCCUGGGGGGCCAGCCAGGGCCUUCACAUCCUUCCUAGGGCCCUAGUUUCCCAUGGGUCCCCUCACCCCACCUUCCAGAACUCUCCCAGCGGCGGCCCCAGGUGUGUACAGAACAGCACCCACCUGCCCACAUGAGGUCACCCUGUGCCCUGUUGCACACUUGAGGGGCCUGGCAUUCGGAAUCUUGCCAGCUCAGGCUGGGACAGGCCACCAACCCCCAGGGUCCCCCUCCUCCAAACCCCAGGACCAGAGCCUAAGAGGACAACACAAGGCAGGGGCGGGGGCUCCACUGCUGUGCCAAGGGCCUGGAGAACACGGGCCUUGCUCUCCGCUCAGCAGCCACCAGCGCCCUUCUCUCCCGGACAGCUCCCGAGGGGCUGCUCUCAUGGACACCAUCAGGUGCUGGGAAGCAGGAACCACCAGGACCUGGACAGAGUCCCCAGUGACCGGCCUGGCAGACAGAGGAGCCCUCAGCUACAGCAUCACAAACAACGGGUGGGGAUACCACAUGGAGCAUUUUGAGGAGUGCUGGCCAGGUAUUUUGUAGAAUGUUCCUCAACUGGGAUUUGGCAGAUGCUUCUCAUCCUUAGUCUUGGCUUGUGUGUGUUUUGAGGAGGAGGACCACAGAGCUUAAGAAUCAUUCUCAGCACUCUGUAUCAGGCACGCAUUCUCUCAAGAUGACUUGCCGCUAUUGAAGUUGACUUUGAUCACCUGGCUGAGGAUCGACAUUUGUUCAAGAAGCCUGGUUCCUUUUACUGGAGAAUGGUGUUUAUUGGAGAACAGAGACCUGGGCACCAGAGGAGGAUCAGAGGACUUCUGUCCUGAGAUUGCCAGAAAAAUGAUGAACAGAAAAUUAUACACAACCGAACAGGCCCAACUUUCAAAUGGACUGAGAAUGACCCACACAAGUUCCACCGAGGCCAAGGGUGACCUGCAGCCAGCGACAGGGAAAGACUGCCACUUACUGGCGGCCUCCGGAACUGGAAGGAGUGUACUGACAAUUGUAUCUUUCGCAAGCUCUUAACCUUUAUACCGUCAAUAAAAACCCCAUUAACAUUUAAAAGGGAUGUUUCUGGGUGUCCACUUGGAAUAAGA